CCUAACUGCUAUGUUCAAGGCCAUCCAAGAGCACAGAUGUACAGACAUUUGCGGAUCCCCCACAAUGUAACGUGGAUAUGAUAAAAAGCUCCCGUGCUCAAGAAUUACGACCUUUCUUCGCUAAAAAGGGUCGAAUGUGGUGGCAGCCUCGUGGUACCUUCGUUGAGAAAACUGUUACGAGAGAAACUGAAUGUUCCGGUCCGGGUGAG